rnacentral:rRNA from 1 species
CGGGAAUACUGGGGCGUAAGCGCACGCAGGCGGUCUGUCAAGUCGGAUGUGAAAUCCCCGGGCUCAACCUGGGAACUGCAUUCGAAACUGGCAGGCUAGAGUCUUGUAGAGGGGGGUAGAAUUCCAGGUGUAGCGGUGAAAUGCGUAGAGAUCUGGAGGAAUACCGGUGGCGAAGGCGGCCCCCUGGACAAAGACUGACGCUCAGGUGCGAAAGCGUGGGGAGCAAACAGGAUUAGAUACCCUGGUAGUCCACGCCGUAAACGAUGUCGACUUGGAGGUUGUGCCCUUGAGGCGUGGCUUCCGGAGCUAACGCGUUAAGUCGACCGCCUGGGGAGUACGGCCGCAAGGUUAAAACUCAAAUGAAUUGACGGGGGCCCGCACAAGCGGUGGAGCAUGUGGUUUAAUUCGAUGCAACGCGAAGAACCUUACCUACUCUUGACAUCCAGAGAACUUUGCAGAGAUGCAUUGGUGCCUUCGGGAACUCUGAGACAGGUGCUGCAUGGCUGUCGUCACCUCGUGUUGUGAAAUGUUGGGUUAAGUCCCGCAACGAGCGCAACCCUUAUCCUUUGUUGCCAGCGGUUAGGCCGGGAACU